AGAGUUUGAUCCUGGCUCAGAGUGAACGCUGGCGGCGUGCCUAAUACAUGCAAGUCGAACGAUGAAGCUCUAGCUUGCUAGAGUGGAUUAGUGGCGCACGGGUGAGUAAUGCAUAGAUAACAUGCCCUUUAGUCUAGGAUAGCCAUUGGAAACGAUGAUUAAUACUGGAUACUCCUUACGAGGGAAAGUUUUUCGCUAAAGGAUUGGUCUAUGUCCUAUCAGCUUGUUGGUGAGGUAAUGGCUCACCAAGGCUAUGACGGGUAUCCGGCCUGAGAGGGUGAACGGACACACUGGAACUGAGACACGGUCCAGACUCCUACGGGAGGCAGCAGUAGGGAAUAUUGCUCAAUGGGGGAAACCCUGAAGCAGCAACGCCGCGUGGAGGAUGAAGGUUUUCGGAUUGUAAACUCCUUUUGUUAGAGAAGAUAAUGACGGUAUCUAACGAAUAAGCACCGGCUAACUCCGUGCCAGCAGCCGCGGUAAUACGGAGGGUGCAAGCGUUACUCGGAAUCACUGGGCGUAAAGAGCGCGUAGGCGGGAUAGCAAGUCAGAUGUGAAAUCCUAUGGCUUAACCAUAGAACUGCAUUUGAAACUGUUAUUCUAGAGUAUGGGAGAGGUAGGUGGAAUUCUUGGUGUAGGGGUAAAAUCCGUAGAGAUCAAGAGGAAUACUCAUUGCGAAGGCGACCUGCUAGAACAUAACUGACGCUGAUGCGCGAAAGCGUGGGGAGCAAACAGGAUUAGAUACCCUGGUAGUCCACGCCCUAAACGAUGAAUGCUAGUUGUUGUGGAGCUUGUCUCUGCAGUAAUGCAGCUAACGCAUUAAGCAUUCCGCCUGGGGAGUACGGUCGCAAGAUUAAAACUCAAAGGAAUAGACGGGGACCCGCACAAGCGGUGGAGCAUGUGGUUUAAUUCGAAGAUACACGAAGAACCUUACCUAGGCUUGACAUUGAUAGAAUCCGCUAGAGAUAGUGGAGUGCUAGCUUGCUAGAACUUGAAAACAGGUGCUGCACGGCUGUCGUCAGCUCGUGUCGUGAGAUGUUGGGUUAAGUCCCGCAACGAGCGCAACCCUCGUCCUUAGUUGCUAACUAUUCGGUAGAGCACUCUAAGGAGACUGCCUUCGCAAGGAGGAGGAAGGUGAGGAUGACGUCAAGUCAUCAUGGCCCUUACGCCUAGGGCUACACACGUGCUACAAUGGGAAGCACAAAGAGAUGCAAUAUUGUGAAAUGGAGCAAAUCUAUAAAACUUCUCUCAGUUCGGAUUGUAGUCUGCAACUCGACUACAUGAAGCUGGAAUCGCUAGUAAUCGUAAAUCAGCUAUGUUACGGUGAAUACGUUCCCGGGUCUUGUACUCACCGCCCGUCACACCAUGGGAGUUGUAUUCGCCUUAAGUCGGAAUGCCAAACUGGCUACCGCCCACGGCGGAUGCAGCGACUGGGGUGAAGUCGUAACAAGGUAACC
rnacentral:rRNA from 1 species